rnacentral:rRNA from 1 species
UUGAUCUGAAAUCAGGUAGGGCUACCC